UACGUAGGGGGCUAGCGUUGUCCGGAAUCAUUGGGCGUAAAGCGCGUGUAGGCGGUUCGGUAAGUCCGCUGUGAAAGUCGGGGGCUCAACCCUCGGAUGCCGGUGGAUACUGUCGGACUAGAGUACGGAAGAGGCGAGUGGAAUCCUGGUGUAGCGGUGAAAUGCGCAGAUAUCAGGAGGAACACCGAUGGCGAAGGCAGGUCUCUGGGCCACUACUGACGCUGAGAAGCGAAAGCGUGGGGAGCGAACAGG
rnacentral:rRNA from 1 species